AUGACCAAUCCUAUUAUCCCCCUAAGGUGUAUGCUCAAACUUGGCAGGUUACAUUACUCAUAUCAUGCAUAUGUUAUAUUGCAAUGCUCACUAGUAGAAAACGGAGCUUUAGCGCCGGUUCGUAAGGGCCUUUAG
rnacentral:rRNA from 1 species